ACGAAUCCCAAAACGACACUAAAAAUAGCAGAAAAUAAAAUGUCACUAAUGGUCAUUGGCCUUAUUACAUUCUUAAAGCAAAAGAAAAGACUCCUAGCUACUUGGUACCAGAAGGACCUUCUUCAGGUUGAAUGUUUUCAUUGAUCAGAUCCUCCAGCUCGCGCAGAUUUUCUAGUAAAAAUGCCUUCGCUAGGCGUUCUCAUUUUCCUUCCUCAGCGUUUUGAUAGUCGGUGACUCUUUUCCUCACUUUCCCUUCCAACUCCAGUAGACUAUAUUCUAGAUAUUCCAGCUUUUCACUAGCCCUGGUGACUCUCUCUUUCCAUUCGUUGAUUUGGUUACUUGAUGGGAGGUUCCUCCACCAGGUCAGCAAGAGUAAGGGUAUGUUGACCAUACCAAAGUCGGGAACUUUGUCUUUCAUUUCUGCAAAACAAAAGGGUGAGGCCAUACUUCUGACAGAUUCGCCUAUUAAAUAUCAACAAUUAGCAUGAGCAGCAUUUAGUUCUCCAAAUAAAUGCACAGACAUGGUAGUGUUCAUUUGGGUUUCAAGGGAACCCAGUGGACUUUGGACAAGGCUAUCUUAAAGAGUCAUUUCAGUGAUGCAUGCACAAUUGAACAGAGUAAGGUUUUUAUGGGGUAUUAGACCAGUACCCUUGAGCGACAACUCAAGAGGGAAAGGCACGGAACCGUCGACUACACCGUUGAUCGACUGGUUUUACCGCAAAUAUGCCUUUACCAAAUUUAGGGGGUGAUAAUAUUGGAAGGGCGCAACCACUCAUUAUAAGCGUAGAUAUGGUAUUUUGUUUGGCACGAGUGGAAUAUGAUAUUGAAUAUGCAAUUACAAGAAUGAAACAAAUUGUCACGUAUUUGCACGUUCAUAAAGUAAUGAUUACAAUAAUUGCUCAUAAUUACAACGACAUUGAAGGAAAGCGGUAAAAGAAAGCACUAAAAAAAGAAACAAAGAGCCAAGUCAGUUUCAUAACAGAAAAGAGGUAAAGACAUUAAAUAAAGGUAAUAAAGAAGCAGUGAAGUCACAAGUAACAUGAGAUGGUAAAAGCCUAAAGAAGUCCCCAGUAGAGUCGUCAUGCUGUCGCGCCCCUUUUUUCUAAAAGAGAAAUCGGGUUCAUGACAUUUGGGAGGACAACUCGUUCCCUCUUGGGAAUUGGGUUUUUUGGGUUGAAGAGUCUCCACCUAAUGAUUAAAGUGCAUUAGGACACUAAAGAAGAGUUCGAGUUGGAAAACCAGAGUUCGGGUAAGGGCUAGAAAUUAUCUCGAGGGGAAGGUGUUAGGCACCCCCCAAAAUCCACUAGUGUGGUUCCCGGCCAUGUUACAAUUGUGACUUUAACUAACAAGUAACCAAAUAAAGGUCUCAAAUAUAAGGGGAUUUACACAUAAUGUUGCAAGUGAAUUGAAAGUUUGAAGAAAGAUAAAGAAAACAGAAAUCUUAAGCAAAUAGUCUGGACAGUUUAAAAGGGAUAACAAGUAAAGGGGAAGGGGUCCUAGGUUUACAAACAAUGUGGAUCACAUCAAUGCAAUACCCGACAAUCACUCCUCAGAAGAGGGGUCGCACGUGGUAUUAGCGCACCGAUCAUCAUGUCCAUAUCUACCCUUUCCCACCCCGUUAAGGUAUUAAACGCGGAAUAGUGUCGUUACUUAUUACAUGCUAGUACCUGUCCCGAUCCUAUCAGUCCCGAAGGCAUUUGGGACUACUAGUCCUAAAGGGAGGGAGGUUGGG
rnacentral:lncRNA from 1 species